GACGUAGGGGGCAAGCGUUAUUCGGAAUUAUUGGGCGUAAAGCGCUCGUAGGCGGGACAGGAAGUCCGUGAAGAAAGACCUGGGCUCAACCCAGGGACCGGCACGGAUACUCUUGUUCUUGAGGCAAUCAGAGGGUGAUGGAAUUCCCGGUGUAGCGGUGAAAUGCGUAGAUAUUGGGAGGAACACCAGUGGCGAAGGCGGCUCACUGGCCCGGUACUGACGCUGAGGUGCGAAAGCGUGGGGAGCAAACAGG
rnacentral:rRNA from 1 species